rnacentral:rRNA from 1 species
UACGAAGGGGGCUAGCGUUGCUCGGAAUUACUGGGCGUAAAGCGCACGUAGGCGGGUCGCUAAGUCGGGGGUGAAAUCCUGGAGCUCAACUCCAGAACUGCCUUCGAAACUGACGAUCUUGAGUUCGGGAGAGGUGAGUGGAACUGCGAGUGUAGAGGUGAAAUUCGUAGAUAUUCGCAAGAACACCAGUGGCGAAGGCGGCUCACUGGCCCGAUACUGACGCUGAGGUGCGAAAGCGUGGGGAGCAAACGGG